UAAUAAAUGGAUGGUUGAGCCAGGUAAAUUUUUUAGGGAAAAAAUGUUGAAAAUUGGAACUAUAAUGCCGAUGCCUGAUAUUCAAGACAAAAUGCCAAAAAGAUCUUUUUUGCCUAGAGUGAUAUCGUCGAAAUUACCAUUUUCCACAUCGAAGAUCGGUGAUUUAAAGAAAAUAUUCCAUGCGGGAAAUGAUUCUCAGAUGGAGAAGAUGAUUGACGAUGCGUUACUUGAGUGUGAAAGAUCUCCGAGUACCGGUGAAACAAAGAAGUGCGUCAGCUCAAUUGAGGACAUGAUUGACUUUUCCACCUCGGUGUUAGGUCAAAACGUUGUCCUACGAACAACUGAGAAUAUAAAAGGGUCAAAGGGAGAUAUUUUAAUUGGAUCGGUGAAAAGAACCAACGAUGGGAAAGUAACGAAAUCGGUAUCUUGUCAUCAGAGUUUGUUUCCGUAUUUGGUUUAUUAUUGUCAUUCGGUUCCAAAGGUUCGGGUUUAUGAAGCGGAUAUAUUGGAUCCGAAUUCAAAGGCUAAGAUUAAUCAUGGUGUUGCCAUUUGUCAUGUGGACACGUCAGCAUGGGGAGCGAAUCAUGGAGCUUUUACGGCACUCGGGUCGGGACCCGGAAAGAUUGAGGUUUGUCAUUGGAUCUUUGAAAAUGAUAUGAAUUGGGCAGUUGCUGAUUAAAAUGGAUCUUCCAACUUUCAUAUUCGGGUCGGAUCAAUUACGGUUCUUGUUCAAAUUAUCAUUGUCCAAUUUUAAUGCAUCUUGACCUCUUUUUGUUUUUUAAUUAUUUAUUAGACUUAUAAUGAACUUACUGUAAUUACUACGAUGGUAAUUUCAAAGGCCUAUUUACUUAUUGUAAUA
rnacentral:misc_RNA from 1 species